UGUUCUAGUGGCUGAGGCAGUGUGUUAGAUUACUCAGCUAUUCUAGUGGUCUGAGGCAGGUGUUAGAUUACUCAGCUGUUCUAGUGGUCUGAGGCAGGUGUUAGAUUACUCAGCUGUUCUAGUGGUCUGAGACAGGUGUUAGAUUACUCAGCGUUCUAGUGGUCUGAGGCGGUGUUAGAUUACUUAGCUGUUCUAGUGGUCUGAGGCAGGUGGUAGAUUACUUAGCGUUUCUAUUGGUCUGAGGCAGGUGGUAGAUUACUUAGCUGUUCUAGUGGUCUGAGACGGUGGUAGAUUACUCAGCUGUUCUAGUGGUCUGAGGCAGGUGGUGGUAGAUUACUCAGCAGUUCUAGUGGUCUGAGGCAGGGUGGUAGAUUACUCAGCAGUUCUAGUGGUCGAGACAGGUGGUAGAUUACCACAGUUCUAGUGGUCUGAGACAGGUGUUAGAUGAGGGUUUUCAACGUUAAUAG
rnacentral:lncRNA from 1 species